rfam:Picea glauca, whole genome shotgun sequence.
ACAUGCCUACAAUAUAACGCUAAUCCAUUGGAUCCCAUGAGAACUUUGCAGUUAAGCACGCUCGAGCUAGAGUAGUACUAGGAUGGGUGACCACCUGGGAAGUCCUAGUAUUUUACAUGGC